rnacentral:snoRNA from 1 species
AGAAUUUUGUGUUACAAGCCAAAUAAGAGGAUUGCGUAUCAGGUAUAUAAUCUUGGUAGAGACAGAGUUAUGGGCGUCCACUACAAGGCAGUCCAACAAUCAUGUUUCCUACUUUGAACCACUCCAGUAGGGGUGAUUCUUCAGUUGCCAGGGAAAAUUGUCAACUGAAUUUAAAGUAGAAACAGGCCAUAUUCAAGAUACCAGGGUCACAAAUCUCAAAAUACUUAGCUGUAUCAUGGCCACCAAGAGAUAUAAUGCAUUUUU